rnacentral:lncRNA from 1 species
AAAAAGGAUGUAGAAGAGUAGAAUAGCAUAAUUAACAAGCUUAACUAUAAAUGUAUAUAAAUCUAUACAUACAGACACAUUUCUCUUAUGCCAACAAAGACCAUACCCUCUUCUCAAACACAAACAGAAUAUCCACAAAAAUUGUUGCUAAGGUAGAACACAGAGAACAUCUUAAGAAAUUCCAAAAUCAAAAAAUCAGAUAAGCCACCUUUUCUGAACAGACUGCAGAAAAAAUCAAAGAAACUCUAGUAACGUGGAAAUUCAUGCUCCGAGUAGUGACAAGCCAGUGACUUUUUCUAUAGAAAGGGUACAAGACUCCAAUUUGAAAAUCUCAAGCAGCUUUAUAUUCAAGCAAGUUCAAUCCAAUCUCUUCCUGACUCACUGUCUCAUCAACAUGCAAAGCUCUCGAAGAGAAAUCAUCUCUUACUUGCCUGAGGGAGUUCUGGCAGACGUUUUGAAUGUGGAUGUGGAAGUUCUUUCCUCGUCUCCAUCCUGUCAAGAGCCGUGGAGCAAACAGCAGGAUGAGGAAGACAUGGAAGACAAAACUGAUAACGCACGUCACCUCGCUGCAGCGGGAGACAGAAUGUAACUUCAAUUCAGCCUCUUUGGGGUUUGGGUUCUGACCAAGUAAAUCGGGAAUGUUGUUAACAUA